ACGGGUCUCCGUUGGUGACCAGCGGAGGGACAUUACCGAGUUAUACAACUCCCAAACCCCAUGUGAACAUACCUAUUGUUGCUUCGGCGGGCUCCCCUCGCUUCGGCGAGGCGCCCGCCAGAGGACCCCUAUAAACCCUUAUUUUAAGAAGAAUUUCUGAGUAAUUGAUACAAAAAUCAAAAUCAAAACUUUCAACAACGGAUCUCUUGGCUCUGGCAUCGAUGAAGAACGCAGCGAAAUGCGAUAAGUAAUGUGAAUUGCAGAAUUCAGUGAAUCAUCGAAUCUUUGAACGCACAUUGCGCCCGCCAGUAUUCUGGCGGGCAUGCCUGUUCGAGCGUCAUUUCAACCCUCAAGCUCUGCUUGGCGUUGGGGAUCGGCAGAACGGCUCCCCGGAGCCGCGCCGUCCCUCAAAUGCAGUGGCGGUCUCGCUGCAGCCUUCUAUGCGUAGUAGCACACCUCGCACUGGAGCGCAGCCUGGCCACGCCGUAAAACCCCCUACUUUUUGUGGUUGACCUCGAAUCAGGUAGGACUACCCGCUGAACUUAAGCAUAUCAAAGGCGGGAGGAAA
rnacentral:rRNA from 1 species